AGCUAGCUCGGUUGGUUAGAGUGUGGCGCUAAUAACACCAAGGUCAUGGGUUCAAACCCUAUGUU
rnacentral:tRNA from 1 species